UACAGCUCAAUGAGGCAAAAAUUAUUGAUCUGACCAUUGUGGUGGUUGAGGCAACAACUAUCGAUCUGCCCAUUGUGGUAGAGCCCAUCGAGGCAAAAACAAUAUUGAUCUGCCCUUUGUGGUAGAGCCCAUUGAGGCAAAAACAAUAUUGAUCUGCCCUUUGUGGUAGAGCCUAUUGAGGCAAAAACUAUUGAUCUGCCCAUUGUGGUAGAGCUCAUUGAGGCAAAAACUAUUUAUCUGCCCAUUGUGGUAGAGCUCAUUCAGGCAAAAGCUAUUGAUCCUGCCCAUUGUGGUAGAGCCCAUUGAGGCAAAAACUGUCAAUCUGCCCAUUGUGGUAGAGCCCAUUGAGCCAUAUAGCGAGUGGAAGUGUUAAAACUUCUUGUCAAAGUUGAUGAUAACAAGUCACUGUGCAUUCGUUUUUUCUGGCAAGAAGAUACUGCGACAAAGGAUCAGAUUGGUGAGAGGGUUGGCCGCGCGUGUUGCAUGUUUCAGUUGUAUAUGGUUGAAAUUUUAAUACAGUAUAGCAUGCACGAUAGUUUCGGCUAGGUGCGCGCGCGGUUUGAAUUCGCCUCAACGUCUUGUUGAAUUAGUUCGACAAAGG